UACUUGAAGGCAAGCUGUGGAAAGCAGAGUCGCUGGUGGAGGAAAAGCAACAGUGAUAUCUUUUAUGGCCUAUCAGUUUUUAAAAUAUAUGCAUAAGCUCGGGGUUCGUCGUUUCUGGAUGAGAACCAGUUUGGCAUCUCACGUUGAUAAAUUGCGAGAAUGGUCGUAACUUAGGUGUCAACAUAUCUGUAAGUCGUUUGCUUCUUGUAAUUAACCGGGCUCCUGCGUUUCAAGGAAUAACGUUACGGACAUAUCUGACCAAGUGGAAAGAAUUCUCUCUAACCCGUGUGAAUUUCGAUCAAAGGAACAGGAUGAACUGCAGAGCGAUAUGAAGAAAAGUCAAAGGCAUCUGCUGAUGAGGGCAGCAGGUUUAUGGGGCAGGACACAACUGAAAGGUGACAUCAAAAGUGAGACGGGUCAAAGGCAGCAUCACCAGCACACCGUGCUGCUGGUUGAGGUAUGGACUGAAAAUGAA